GCCAGUGUGAUGUAGUGGUUUGAAUGUUGGAUUAUGGUUCUAAAGAAUAGGGUUCAAAUCCCCACUUGGUCA